CGCCUUGUGGUCUAAUAAAUAAGGCGUCGGACUUUGGUUUCCAAGGUUGCAGGUUCGAGUCCUGCCAGGGUU